AGGUUUAGCCUUAAUCGGCACUUCCAAUCAAACUCAGCCGGGUCUUUCAGAUCCGGCUUUUUUGUUGCCUGUC
rnacentral:misc_RNA from 1 species